rnacentral:rRNA from 1 species
UACGAAGGGGGCUAGCGUUGCUCGGAAUCACUGGGCGUAAAGCGCACGUAGGCGGAUUGUUAAGUCAGGGGUGAAAUCCUGGAGCUCAACUCCAGAACUGCCUUUGAUACUGGCGAUCUUGAGUCCGGGAGAGGUGAGUGGAACUGGCGAGUGUAGAGGUGAAAUUCGUAGAUAUUCGCAAGAACACCAGUGGCGAAGGCGGCUCACUGGCCCGGUACUGACGCUGAGGUGCGAAAGCGUGGGGAGCAAAC